CCUACGGGAGGCAGCAGUAGGGAAUAUUGCACAAUGGGGGAAACCCUGAUGCAGCAACGCCGCGUGAGUGAAGAAGUAUCUCGGUAUGUAAAGCUCUAUCAGCAGGGAAGAAAAUGACGGUACCUGACUAAGAAGCCCCGGCUAAAUACGUGCCAGCAGCCGCGGUAAUACGUAGGGUGCAAGCGUUAUCCGGAUUUACUGGGUGUAAAGGGAGCGCAGGCGGCGGCGCAAGUCAGAUGUGAAAGCCCGGGGCUUAACCCCGGGACUGCAUUUGAAACUGUGGGGCUAGAGUGUAGGAGAGGCAAGUGGAAUUCCGAGUGUAGCGGUGAAAUGCGUAGAUAGUAGGAGGAACACCAGGGGCGAAGGCGGCUUGCUGGACGAUCACUGACGCUGAGGCUCGAAAGCGUGGGGAGCAAACAGGAUUAGAUACCCGAGUAGUC
rnacentral:rRNA from 1 species